UGAGCUCUAAGUACCCGCGGUCUGUCCGGCGCUGCCUGCCCCUCUGGGCCCUAACACUGGAAGCAGCUCUCAUUCUCCUCUUCUAUUUUUUUACCCACUAUGACGCUUCCUUAGAGGAUCAAAAGGGGCUCGUGGCAUCCUAUCAAGUGGCCAAGAUCUGACCGUGAUGGCGGCCAUUGGCUUGGGCUUCCUCACCUCGAGUUUCCGGAGACACAGCUGGAGCAGUGUGGCCUUCAACCUCUUCAUGCUGGCGCUUGGUGUGCAGUGGGCAAUCCUGCUGGACGGCUUCCUGAGCCAGUUCCCUUCUGGGAAGGUGGUCAUCACACUGUUCAGAUUCGGCUGGCCACCAUGAGUGCUUUGUCGGUGCUGAUCUCAGUGGAUGCUGUCUUGGGGAAGGUCAACUUGGCGCAGUUGGUGGUGAUGGUGCUGGUGGAGGUGACAGCUUUAGGCAACCUGAGGAUGGUCAUCAGUAAUAUCUUCAACCAGACUACCACAUGAACAUGAUGCACAUCUACGUGUUCGCAGCCUAUUUUGGGCUGUCUGUGGCCUGGUGCCUGCCAAAGCCUCUACCCGAGGGAACGGAGGAUAAAGAUCAGACAGCAACGAUACCCAGUUUGUCUGCCAUGCUGGCGCCCUCUUCUUGUGGAUGUUCUGGCCAAGUUUCAACUCUGCUCUGCUGAGAAGUCCAAUCGAAAGGAAGAAUGCCGUGUUCAACACCUACUAUGCUGUAGCAGUCAGCGUGGUGACAGCCAUCUCAGGGUCAUCCUUGGCUCACCCCCAAGGGAAGAUCAGCAAGCUUAUGUGCACAGUGCGGUGUUGGCAGGAGGCGUGGCUGUGGGUACCUCGUGUCACCUGAUCCCUUCUCCGUGGCUUGCCAUGGUGCUGGGUCUUGUGGCUGGGCUGAUCUCCGUCGGGGGAGCCAAGUACCUGCCGGGUGUUGUAACCGAGUGCUGGGGAUUCCCCACAGCUCCAUCAUGGGCUACAACUUCAGCUUGCUGGGUCUGCUUGGAGAGAUCAUCUACAUUGUGCUGCUGGUGCUUGAUACCGUCGGAGCCGGCAAUGGCAUAUUGGCUUCCAGGUCCUCCUCAGCAUUGGGGAACUCAGCUUGGCCAUCGUGAUAGCUCUCAUGUCUGGUCUCCUGACAGUUUGCUCCUAAAUCUUAAAAUAUGGAAAGCACCUCAUGAGGCUAAAUAUUUUGAUGACCAAGUUUUCUGGAAGUUCCUCAUUUGGCUGUUGGAUUU
rnacentral:lncRNA from 1 species